AGUCCUGAGCAGAAAGAACCUCAGAAGUCUUGGUCUAUGGUCUGUUCAGGUUGAUCCCAGCAUACAUUGGGGGCUCCUAAGGGACCCGAGCCUAAUGGAUUUGUGGGAGUUCCAGACCGUGGGGUGCAGAGGUUGCGGCCACGGGCGAGAAUCCCCAUCUGAGAGGAGCGUUGCUGUUUUCGGUGCGUCAGGGUAAAUUACCUUUUCUCUCUAUGCAAAAGAAUGCAAAUGAGCAGAACUUUUAAAGAAGAAUUUAAAGUAAAAUUACGUCAAAAUGUAGCUGCUUUGACCUCUUCGUCUCAGAUCCGAGCAUAGGCUUCCCCUUUGUGCUAUUUGAAGGGACUUAGGAUAAAUUUGAAAAGCCUGAACUAAAGAAAUGGUUGGAGAGACUCCGUCUCAAAAAAAAAAAAAAAAAGAAAGAAAGAAAGAAAAGGAAUCGUUGGUUUUAUACUAGAAGAGGAAGUGUGGUUUACAUGAGAGAUUUCAGAAUCAAAUAUACUUGAUUCUUCAAGACAAUCUUCCUGUUAUCUGGAGAGAAAAACGUGAUUCAGGACGGCAUGGAAACAGAUAAAAGUACACAGAGAAUUACUUGCCUUAUCUUGAAGGAUGAAUAAUUAACACAUUUUCUUAAAACAGUCUAAAUAAAUGCCAAAGGGGGUUUGUUUUUCGUAGGAAAAGCUUGAUUUCACUGUUGUAAUCUAGCAACAUUGAACUUUCAAAAUGAUUUUUGUAGUUUCCUAUGCUAUAUAAAGCGGAAACGUGGAAUAAUGAAGAGCAAAAUGUCUUUUCAUUCCCGACUGUGACAGAAAACAGAUAGCAAGAUAACAAACUUAAUUGGAUCAAUGAUCACAUUAAGUGUAACUGGUCUAACACCUUAACUUAAGAAGGUUGUCAGGUUGGAUUUUUUUUUUAAAAGUCAGACCCAAAUACGUGCUACCUACAGGUAAUACUUAAAAUAUAAAAGCACUAAUAGGUUAAAAGUAAAAGGAUGGAAAAAUAUAUAAAAUCCUAACACUAGUCAAAAGAAAGCUGGAGUGGCUAUAUUAAAAACAAAGUGACUUCACCAAAAAGACUAUAUCAGGGAUAAAGAAAGUUACAUCAUCAUAAUGAUGAAGGAUACAGUUCAUCCAGUGGAAAGAACAAACCUAAAUUAUGCUCUUAAUACAGCUUCUAAGUAUGUGAGUAAAAACCUGUUAGAUCAAUAAAGUAACAGACAAAUCCACAAUUAUAAUCAGAUAUUUCAACAUAUCUCUCUUGGUAAUUGAUAGAACUAAUGCAGAAAAGCAACAGGGUAUAGAUUAUCUAAACAACAUAUCAACCUGCUUGAUCUCAUUUACACUUCUGGAACACUCUUCUCAAAGACAGUAAAAUUCAUCUUAGGUGGACAGGAGACACUUUCCAGCGUAUACCAUAUUCUGGGCCAUAAAGCAAGUCUCCAUAAAUGAGUAAAUGGACUCAAGUCAUACAAAGAAUGUUUUUGACAAAAAUGGAAUUAAAUUAGAAAU
rnacentral:lncRNA from 1 species